rnacentral:rRNA from 1 species
AUACAGAGGGUGCAAACGUUGUUCGGAAUUACUGGGCGUAAAGCGCUCGUAGGCGGCUUGUUAAGUCGGAUGUGAAAUCCCCGGGCUCAACCUGGGAACUGCAUUCGAUACUGGCAAGCUAGAGUAUAGUAGAGGCAAGUGGAAUUCCGGGUGUAGCGGUGAAAUGCGUAGAUAUCCGGAGGAACAUCAGUGGCGAAGGCGACUUGCUGGACUAAUACUGACGCUGAGGAGCGAAAGCGUGGGGAGCAAACGGGAUUAGAAACCCCCAGUAGUCC